rnacentral:rRNA from 1 species
AUUGAACGCUGGCGGCAGGCCUAACACAUGCCAGUCGAGCGGAUGAAGGGAGCUUGCUCCUGGAUUCAGCGGCGGACGGGUGAGUAAUGCCUAGGAAUCUGCCUGGUAGUGGGGGAUAACGUCCGGAAACGGGCGCUAAUACCGCAUACGUCCUGAGGGAGAAAGUGGGGGAGCUUCGGACCUCACGCUAUCAGAUGAGCCUAGGUCGGAUUAGCUAGUUGGUGGGGUAAAGGCCUACCAAGGCGACGAUCCGUAACUGGUCUGAGAGGAUGAUCAGUCACACUGGAACUGAGACACGGUCCAGACUCCUACGGGAGGCAGCAGUGGGGAAUAUUGGACAAUGGGCGAAAGCCUGAUCCAGCCAUGCCGCGUGUGUGAAGAAGGUCUUCGGAUUGUAAAGCACUUUAAGUUGGGAGGAAGGGCAGUAAGUUAAUACCUUGCUGUUUUGACGUUACCAACAGAAUAAGCACCGGCUAACUUCGUG